rnacentral:lncRNA from 1 species
CCAAUUUGGCAAAAUGAGAAUUAGCUGGCUAAAUAAAAUUUAUAAGGGUCAUUUAGCAAAUUAGAAAUUUGUACGGGAUUAUUGUAUAAAAAAAGGAAAAGAAAAUCGCAACAGAAACCGGUGCAUCGAGUGUACGGAUGAACCGGGCGCACGCGAGAAUUUCAUGACCCGGGCCCCGAAAUAGAUACCGUGCACUGGAGCAGGCCCUCUAUAAAUAGAGCGACCACCCCACGUCCUCUCCCCCAACUCGAAACGCUCGCUCCCCAACCUCCUCUCCUCCUCCUCCUUCAUGGACGGCGACGCCGCCGCCGCCGCCGCCAACGCCACCGCAGACGCCGACGCCGGCAGAGACGCCGGCGGCGACUGGCGAUCAAAGAUCCGCCCGGAUGGGCGGGCGAAGAUCGUUGACCAAAUGUAAAACUUUCACCGAUUCUCUUUCUUCUUGUUCUUCUUCGUGAUUGAUA